rnacentral:rRNA from 1 species
AUUGAACGCUGGCGGCAGGCCUAACACAUGCAAGUCGAACGGUAACAGGAAGCAGCUUGCUGCUUCGCUGACGAGUGGCAGACGGGUGAGUAAUGUCUGGGAAACUGCCUGAUGGAGGGGGAUAACUACUGGAAACGGUAGCUAAUACCGCAUAACGUCGCAAGACCAAAGAGGGGGACCUUAGGGCCUCUUGCCAUCGGAUGUGCCCAGAUGGGAUUAGCUAGUAGGUGGGGUAACGGCUCACCUAGGCGACGAUCCCUAGCUGGUCUGAGAGGAUGACCAGCCACACUGGAACUGAGACACGGUCCAGACUCCUACGGGAGGCAGCAGUGGGGAAUAUUGCACAAUGGGCGCAAGCCUGAUGCAGCCAUGCCGCGUGUAUGAAGAAGGCCUUCGGGUUGUAAAGUACUUUCAGCGGGGAGGAAGGGAGUAAAGUUAAUACCUUUGCUCAUUGACGUUACCCGCAGAAGAAGCACCGGCUAACUCCGUG